rnacentral:rRNA from 1 species
CGCUAUCACUCCUACGGGGAGGCAGCAGUAGGGAAUCUUCCACAAUGGGCGCAAGCCUGAUGGAGCAACACCGCGUGAGUGAAGAAGGGUUUCGGCUCGUAAAGCUCUGUUGUUAAAGAAGAACACGUAUGAGAGUAACUGUUCAUACGUUGACGGUAUUUAACCAGAAAGUCACGGCUAACUACGUGCCAGCAGCCGCGGUAAUACGUAGGUGGCAAGCGUUAUCCGGAUUUAUUGGGCGUAAAGAGAGUGCAGGCGGUUUUCUAAGUCUGAUGUGAAAGCCUUCGGCUUAACCGGAGAAGUGCAUCGGAAACUGGAUAACAUGAGUGCAGAAGAGGGUAGUGGAACUCCAUGUGUAGCGGUGGAAUGCGUAGAUAUAUGGAAGAACACCAGUGGCGAAGGCGGCUACCUGGUCUGCAACUGACGCUGAGACUCGAAAGCAUGGGUAGCGAACAGGAUUAGAUACCCUGGUAG